rnacentral:rRNA from 1 species
UGAACGCUGGCGGUCUGCUUAACACAUGCAAGUCGAACGAACUCUUCGGAGUGAGUGGCGGACGGGUGAGUAACGCGUGAGAAUCUGCCUGUGGGUCGGGGACAACCACUGGAAACGGUGGCUAAUACCGGAUGAGCCGAAAGGUAAAAAAUUUAUUGCCCACAGAUGAGCUCGCGUCUGAUUAGCUAGUUGGUAAGGUAAAAGCGUACCAAGGCGACGAUCAGUAGCUGGUCUGAGAGGAUGAGCAGCCACACUGGGACUGAGACACGGCCCAGACUCCUACGGGAGGCAGCAGUGGGGAAUUUUCCGCAAUGGGCGAAAGCCUGACGGAGCAAGACCGCGUGGGGGAGGAAGGUUUUUGGAUCGUAAACCCCUUUUGUCAAGGAAGAAGUUCUGACGGUACUUGACGAAUAAGCCUCGGCUAACUCCGUGCCAGCAGCCGCGGUAAUACGGAGGAGGCAAGCGUUAUCCGGAAUGAUUGGGCGUAAAGCGUCUGUAGGUGGCCAGCUAAGUCUGCUGUUAAAGAUCACAGCUCA